rnacentral:rRNA from 1 species
GACGAACGCUGGCGGCAUGCCUAAUACAUGCAAGUCGAACGCAGUGGGGACGGGUGAGUAACACGUGGGUAACCUCCCAUCAGAGGGGAUAACCCUUGGAAACAGGUGCUAAACCGCUACUGAUGGAUGGACCAGCGGUGCAUUAGCUAGUUGGUGAGGUAACGGCUCACCAAGGCCACGAUGCAUAGCCGACCUGAGAGGGUGAUCGGCCACACUGGGACUGAGACACGGCCCAGACUCCUACGGGAGGCAGCAGUAGGGAAUCUUGGGCAAUGGACGAAAGUCUGACCGAGCAACGCCGCGUGAGUGAAGAAGGUUUUCGGAUCGUAAAACUCUGUUGUUAGAGAAGCGGUAUCUAAACAGAAAGCAACGGCUAACUACGUGCCAGCAGCCGCGGUAAUAC